rnacentral:tRNA from 1 species
GCGCGCUUAGCUCAGUUGGGAGAGCGCCCGCCUUACAAGCAGGAGGUCACUGGUUCGAACCCAGUAGUGCGCACCA